UACGUAGGGCGCAAGCGUUGUCCGGAAUUAUUGGGCGUAAAGAGCUCGUAGGCGGUUUGUCGCGUCUGCUGUGAAAACCUAAGGCUCAACCUGGGAAUUGCAUUGGAUACUGGCAGGCUAGAGUGCGGUAGAGGGUAGUGGAAUUCCCGGUGUAGCAGUGAAAUGCGUAGAGAUCGGGAGGAACACCAGUGGCGAAGGCGGCCCGCUGGGCAGUGGCUGACGCUGGAGGCGCGACAGCGUGGGGAGCAAACAGG
rnacentral:rRNA from 1 species